CAAAGAGGGUAACUGUGAAGAGUUUAAUGCAGGGGCUAACCAUAGAGGGCCAGGCAGGGUUGAAGGAAACCAUUGAGGGAUGGUAAAGCACUCUGGGGCUGGCAAGAGCUGGAAGCCACUGCCCCUCCGAGGUCCUGAGGCGCCUCCCAUGGGCUGACGAGAAGCCAGAGGGCAGAGGAACCCACUAGAGGAGAUCCACAGUGGCAGAGAUGGACAAUAUUACACCCAGUAUCCAAAGACAAGCAAAAAAAGGCUAUCAAGCUGGGAGCUGACAGAUACAACUCUACUCCAGAUUGGAAUACAACACUGAAAGAGAGAGAUAAACAAUGUGACCCAGGAGGAGGGAAAGUCAUCACUCUGCCCAACUCACAUGUCUUGAUAACACAAUCUACUGGAAAUUGGGGGAAAGAAGACAAAUAUGAAGAUUCACUAAGGUCUUUGGGCUGCCAGCAUGUUGGUCUGAGCUCUCAGAGCCCAAGGGUCCCAACCCCAGCUGAGAAGCUCAGAGGCAUGACCGCCCUGCCCAGGACCUGCAAGAAGUGAACCCCACUAUGUGGGUGAAAAGGCUGGUGCCUGGUAAAGAAACAAAUCCUAUAAACCGAAGCAGAGGCCCAGAGAGGUUGAGAAGGGACAGGACUCCAAAGGAGUGAUACAGAUGCUUCCAUUGAAAGAAUCUGGGACACUGCUCAAAGUCAGUUGCAAAAAAAAUGGGUUUGGAAGAUGAGGGAAUGGGGUCACUGGGCAUUAAGGAGGGCACGUGAUGUGAUGGGCACUGGGUAUGAUAUGCAACUGAUGAACUGCUGAGCUCUACAUGGGAAACUAAUGAUAUAUUGGCUAAUUGAGUUUAAAUUUUAAAUUUUUCUUAAAGAAAAAUGAAAAUAAAAAAGAAGAAAUUGGGCAAACAGGGCUACACAAGAAAAUUGUAGGAGCCGUCUCGUAAAAUUACAGGUUCCUAGCGCCACCUUGACACUACUCACUCGGUCCUUGGAGCCGUGGUUUUCGAUCUCAGCUGCACACCAGAAUCGUCCCUAUUGCCCAGGCUGACUCCUGGGUGUAUCCAGUGGGAGUCCCUAGAGGGAAGAACCCAGGCUUUCUUCAAGUCCUGAAGGAUACUCAUCGAGCAGCAGCGUACGACCAAGUUUGAGAAUCUCUGCUCUCCCAUGGGUGAGGGGUCUGUGUGCUUAUCAUGCUCCCUAACUGAUUCUAAUGGGCCUUGAGUCCACCUCACUCUGCUGGCAAGUAUUUGGGAAACUCUGCUAAAGGUAACUUCGCUUAAAGCCACAGCGUGGCCUACGAAACCAGCAGGGCUAAUGGUGGCGGCCAGAGGCCAGGUCCUGGGACAACACGGAUGAUCAGCAGUGGGACAGGAGAGCCCCGCGCCCCGCCCCGCCUCCUGCGCUCGCUCUCCCGGCGCCGUCCUCCACCUGCAGCCGGGACCCAGGGGCGCCUA